rnacentral:rRNA from 1 species
AUUGAACGCUGGCGGCAUGCCUUACACAUGCAAGUCGAACGGCAGCACGGGUGCUUGCCCCUGGUGGCGAGUGGCGAACGGGUGAGUAAUACAUCGGAACAUGUCCUGUAGUGGGGGAUAGCCCGGCGAAAGCCGGAUUAAUACCGCAUACGAUCUACGGAUGAAAGCGGGGGACCUUCGGGCCUCGCGCUAUAGGGUUGGCCGAUGGCUGAUUAGCUCGUUGGUGGGGUAAAGGCCUACCAAGGCGACGCUCAGUAGCUGGUCUGAGAGGAAGACCAGCCACACUGGGACUGAGACACGGCCCAGACGCCUACGGGAGGCAGCAGUGGGGAAUGUUGGACAAUGGGCGAAAGCCUGAUCCAGCAAUGCCGCGUGUGUGAAGAAGGCCUUCGGGUUGUAAAGCACUUUUGUCCGGAAAGAAAUCCUUGGCCCUAAUACGGUCGGGGGAUGACGGUACCGGAAGAAUAAGCACCGGCUAACUACGUG